AAACUAAGGGGGUGGCUUCCAUCUGGAAGAAUCUGGAGACAGGUGCUGCAUGGCUGUCGUCAGCUCGUGUCGUGAGAUGUUGGGUUAAGUCCCGCAACGAGCGCAACCCUUGCCUUUAGUUGCCAGCAGUUCGGCUGGGCACUCUAAAGGGACUGCCGGUGUUAAACCGGAGGAAGGUGGGGAUGACGUCAAGUCCUCAUGGCCUUUAUGACCAGGGCUACACACGUACUACAAUGGCCGAUACAAAGGGCAGCGACACUGCGAGGUGAAGCCAAUCCCGUAAAAUCGGUCUCAGUCCGGAUUGGAGUCUGCAACUCGACUCCAUGAAGUUGGAAUCGCUAGUAAUCGUGGAUCAGCAUGCCACGGUGAAUACGUUCCCGGGCCUU
rnacentral:rRNA from 1 species